rnacentral:rRNA from 1 species
GACGAACGCUGGCGGCGUGCUUAACACAUGCAAGUCGAACGGAAAGGCCCCUUUGGGGGUCCUCGAGUGGCGAACGGGUGAGUAACACGUGAGUAACCUGCCCUUGACUUCGGGAUAACUUCAUGAAACUGGGGCUAAUACCGGAUAGGAAUCCUUGCUGCAUGGUGUGGGUUGGAAAGCUUCGGCGGUUUUGGAUGGACUCGCGGCUUAUCAGCGUGUUGGUGGGGUAGUGGCUUACCAAGGCUUUGACGGGUAGCCGGCCUGAGAGGGCGACCGGCCACAUUGGGACUGAGAUACGGCCCAGACUCCUACGGGAGGCAGCAGUGGGGAAUAUUGCACAAUGGGCGGAAGCCUGAUGCAGCAACGCCGCGUGCGGGAUGACGGCCUUCGGGUUGUAAACCGCUUUCAGCAGGGGCGAAGCUUGUGGUGACGGUACCUGCAGAAGAAGCACCGGCUAACUACGUG